CGCCAAUUUACCACAAUUCAUGUUAUCAUACAAAGUCGUUGGACGUUGCAACUGAACAAAUAUAAAUGACCAUACAACUUCCUCCAUUUUUUGCAGCUAUGUUCAAUAAUACACAGCCAGUUCUAAUAAUAUGAUACAAACACAAGGACUAAGUGAAUCGUUGCACUAAAAAUUUUGUGGCCUUCCAAACCAGCAGAGUUGGACAUAACAAGGUUUUAUUUUCAUAAAGAAUACAAACAUAAAUGAUUACUCAAUAAUAAUAAUAAUAACAACAACAACAAUCUCUUCUUCUACCGAAAAAAUGUCAAUCUGAGAUUUCUCUAGAAAUGCAUGUCAUCCCAAAAGAGUCGCUCCUUGGUCCAAGCGCAAGUUGUUUCUGCAUGUUCCCAGUCGAAUACCCACACAAACUUAACAAAAAAAUAAAUAAAACAAAUAAAAUACCCAAAAUUUCCUUCAUUUUUCUUAUCAACCAAACGCCAAACCCAAAAGAGACGAGAAGAAAGGAAAAGAAAAGAAAACCACAUGUGUCAAGCCCAAUUAAUGAAUUCGAAGACCAUUUAGAAAAACAAAUCAAUCAACCAUCUGAAGAAUGCAAGCAGCCAGACAGUUAAAGUAAAUUAAUUAAAGAAACUACAUGGCUCAUCAUGUGAUAUUAGAUUAAUAAAAUUAACAAUACAAGUUUAGCUUAUCUAGAAAAAGGGGAUGAAGCAGAAUCAACAAGGGCAAUUACUCAUUAAAAGGAACAAAGAAAAAAAGAAGACAUGCAAAUCCUGCAAUGGAUUAUGAUCAAAACAUUAUUCCGAGCCAAAUAUACAAGUUUGUAGCUUCAAAAAACAUCUGAUAUUGCCUCAAGAAGAGGAGAAAGGAAAAAGGAAGAAGAGAAGAAAGGAAAAGGGAGAGAGAGGGAGGAAGAGAAAGCUAGGAAGAGAUAAGAACAGAGUAACGAGAGGAAGAAAAAAAAAUAUAUUUGAGUUUGUGUUGAUAAGUUCUAGUU
rnacentral:misc_RNA from 1 species